rnacentral:misc_RNA from 1 species
AACGCACAUUGCGCCCUUUGGUAUUCCGAAGGGCAUGCCUGUUCGAGCGUCAUGAUCAACCCUCAAGCCUGGCUUGGUGUUGGAUGUGAGCGUCCCCGCCCGCGGGACGGUCCAUCCCAAAGACAAUGACGGUGUCGCGACUCGCCCCGGUACAUGGAGCUUUCACGAGCACGUACCGGUGUCGGCGGCGUGGCGCCGGGCUCCCGUCCAUUUUUCAAGGUUGACCUCGGAUCAGGUAGGAAUACCCGCUGAACUUAA